ACGCUCGACACCUACGGGAGCAGCAGUAGGGAAUCUUCCACAAUGGACGCAAGUCUGAUGGAGCAACGCCGCGUGAGUGAAGAAGGUUUUCGGAUCGUAAAGCUCUGUUGUUGGUGAAGAAGGAUAGAGGUAGUAACUGGCCUUUAUUUGACGGUAAUCAACCAGAAAGUCACGGCUAACUACGUGCUAGCAGCCGCGGUAAUCUGAGCGGGCUGGCAAGGC
rnacentral:rRNA from 1 species